AGCGAAAUACUUUAUUGAUACCCGGAGAAAUCUGCAACGUCAAAAAGACGAAUGUCAUAAGUUCAUAAUUUUGGGGAAACUAUUCCAAUUUCCAGAAUCAAAUUCUGUAAUAAAGUACAUCAAACAAUUAUAAUAGUUGUGUAUGUAAAAUAUCUUAUUUACUAUGACAUCAUAAAACAUUUGAACAGGUUUACAAAGCAUGUACAGGUAUAAAAAAAAUUGAAACCCUUUAUUUUAGGGGCUUUUCGUCUGUUUUCUCUAAUGGAGUCGCACAAUACUAGUGGCACUCUAGCCAAAUUCUUAAGCCUGUCUUUAUUUUGUUUCAUUUAUUAACAUGCAUAGGGAAUCCAAUUAAAUCAUAUUAAAUAUUAAGGACAAGAAAACCUUUCCGUGUCUACCAAAUAAGUAUAACUUGUUCAUUUCUGUAGGAGUGAAUUCGGGAUCAAAACACUUGAUCACAGUCCAGUACACCGCCUGUGCCAACACAGUCCCUAUUUUUCAAAAGUCAGAUUUCAAUCAGGUGUAUAUUAAACGUAAUAAAAUUAAUAUUUGUUAAAACAUUAAUUAACACGAAAUUUUGAAGAAAUAUAGUUAAUAAUAUAAUAUUAAGAUUUUUCAUUCCCAUUCAAAAAUACAGAGUAGUACAGGUAAUUAAAAUCCGUAGAAUUUAAAAUAUAAUAUAAUACCGAUUUUUAAUUGCUACUUUUUGGUACUGUGACGCCUUUCUACUCGAGACAAUGAAAUGUUUCAUGUAAAUAGGGUUAUACUGAGUAAUUACUCCAUAUUUGUCCAUUUAUUAGUGUUGAUUUAAUCUAUGUACGAAGCUUCAUUAAUAUAUGAUAUCAAGUUCCUACAAAACAACACUUGUCUUGGAAUGAAAAUAAAACUGUUUUGGAACGCUUGGAAUUUUUGGACAACCUUCGUACAUGCAUAUUUUAAACUUCAAUUUAAAGUAAAAGCGGUAACUUGUGUUUUGAUAUUUUAAUUUCAUUUGACUUUGCUGUUUUUAAAUUUUUUGUGUAUGUUUUUAUUUUUGCGUUUUAGGCAUAUGAGCCAGGAAAGAUUCAACUAUUAUCGAGUCAACUUACUUUGAAGCAAGAAAUAAAUUAGAGGAAUACGUUUUAAGUUUCUUAUAAUGUUUGUAAUUAUAGGCCUGUUUAGUACAGAAUUUCUCACCUCACCUUUCCUGCAGACCUAGUCUAUACUUAGACUUCCAGACCUAACAAAAACAUUUAUCAUGGGAACAGAUGCGUCCAAAUUAAACAAGAUGCUGUUCUGAUGCAAGACCCUUACAGAAAGACGUAUCCAGUCGCAUCUGUUAGUUGGUAGCUGUUCGUUAGAGAAAUAAGGUAUUCAGUAAUAGAAAAAGAAAUGUCGUACUUUAAUUUGGGCCUAAAAAGAGUUCAAGCUUAUUUUUGGGUAAUUAUAAUAGAAAUUUCUCACCAACCUUUAGUUUAUCUUCAGUAGGCAAAAGUAGCAAAUUCUCCAAUGCUGUGUGGAAAGGUAAUGCUUUACUUGGUACCUGUGCAGUCCAUUUAAAACGUGGGGCUUUUGUUUUGGUAUUUGUAAGAGGAUGUGAGUCAUUACAAUUAAACAACUGGCUUACCGAUAUUUUUUUCAUACUUCCGUCGAUAAUCUGUUCUUCCGGCCAACACGUAGUAUGGAACAUCGUGGGUGGUGAUGGUAAAUGGUAGUGAUGGCUGAUUCUCUUGUACCUUUACUUCAAUUUUGUUGUUUAUUUGUAAAUAAAUUGUUAUUGUUA